UGGAUGCCUACCUCUGGUGUACCAGUUGUCGUGCCAACGGCAUAGCUGGGUAGCUAUGUGUGGACGGGAUAAGUGCUGAAAGCAUCUAAGCAUGAAGCCCCCCUCAAGAUGAGAUUUCCCAACUUCGGUUAUAAGAUCCCUCAAAGAUGAUGAGGUUAAUAGGUUCGAGGUGGAAGCAUGGUGACAUGUGGAGCUGACGAAUACUAAUCGAUCGAAGACUUAAUCAAAAUAAAUGUUUUGCGAAGCAAAAUCACUUUUACUUACUAUCUAGUUUUGAAUGUAUAAAUUACAUUCAUAUGUCUGGAAGGUAAUAAUCCUGUAGUCGAAAAUGUUGUCUCUCUUGAGUGGAUCCUGAGUACGACGGAGCACGUGAAAUUCCGUCGGAAUCUGGGAGGACCAUCUCCUAAGGCUAAAUACUCUCUAGUGACCGAUAGUGAACCAGUACCGUGAGGGAAAGGUGAAAAGCACCCCGGAAGGGGAGUGAAAUAGAACCUGAAACCGUGUGCUUACAAGUAGUCAGAGCCCGUUAAUGGGUGAUGGCGUGCCUUUUGUAGAAUGAACCGGCGAGUUACGAUUUGAUGCAAGGUUAAGCAGUAAAUGUGGAGCCGUAGCGAAAGCGAGUCUGAAUAGGGCGUUUAGUAUUUGGUCGUAGACCCGAAACCAGGUGAUCUACCCUUGGUCAGGUUGAAGUUCAGGUAACACUGAAUGGAGGACCGAACCGACUUACGUUGAAAAGUGAGCGGAUGAACUGAGGGUAGCGGAGAAAUUCCAAUCGAACCUGGAGAUAGCUGGUUCUCUCCGAAAUAGCUUUAGGGCUAGCCUCAAGUGAUGAUUAUUGGAGGUAGAGCACUGUUUGGACGAGGGGCCCCUCUCGGGUUACCGAAUUCAGACAAACUCCGAAUGCCAAUUAAUUUAACUUGGGAGUCAGAACAUGGGUGAUAAGGUCCGUGUUCGAAAGGGAAACAGCCCAGACCACCAGCUAAGGUCCCAAAAUAUAUGUUAAGUGGAAAAGGAUGUGGCGUUGCCAGACAACUAGGAUGUUGGCUUAGAAGCAGCCAUCAUUUAAAGAGUGCGUAAUAGCUCACUAGUCGAGUGACACUGCGCCGAAAAUGUACCGGGGCUAAACAUAUUACCGAAGCUGUGGAUUGUCCUUUGGACAAUGGUAGGAGAGCGUUCUAAGGGCGUUGAAGCAUGAUCGUAAGGACAUGUGGAGCGCUUAGAAGUGAGAAUGCCGGUGUGAGUAGCGAAAGACGGGUGAGAAUCCCGUCCACCGAUUGACUAAGGUUUCCAGAGGAAGGCUCGUCCGCUCUGGGUUAGUCGGGUCCUAAGCUGAGGCCGACAGGCGUAGGCGAUGGAUAACAGGUUGAUAUUCCUGUACCACCUAUAAUCGUUUUAAUCGAUGGGGGGACGCAGUAGGAUAGGCGAAGCGUGCGAUUGGAUUGCACGUCUAAGCAGUAAGGCUGAGUAUUAGGCAAAUCCGGUACUCGUUAAGGCUGAGCUGUGAUGGGGAGAAGACAUUGUGUCUUCGAGUCGUUGAUUUCACACUGCCGAGAAAAGCCUCUAGAUAGAAAAUAGGUGCCCGUACCGCAAACCGACACAGGUAGUCAAGAUGAGAAUUCUAAGGUGAGCGAGCGAACUCUCGUUAAGGAACUCGGCAAAAUGACCCCGUAACUUCGGGAGAAGGGGUGCUCUUUAGGGUUAACGCCCAGAAGAGCCGCAGUGAAUAGGCCCAAGCGACUGUUUAUCAAAAACACAGGUCUCUGCUAAACCGUAAGGUGAUGUAUAGGGGCUGACGCCUGCCCGGUGCUGGAAGGUUAAGAGGAGUGGUUAGCUUCUGCGAAGCUACGAAUCGAAGCCCCAGUAAACGGCGGCCGUAACUAUAACGGUCCUAAGGUAGCGAAAUUCCUUGUCGGGUAAGUUCCGACCCGCACGUAAGGCGUAACGAUUUGGGCACUGUCUCAACGAGAGACUCGGUGAAAUCAUAGUACCUGUGAAGAUGCAGGUUACCCGCGACAGGACGGAAAGACCCCGUGGAGCUUUACUGUAGCCUGAUAUUGAAAUUCGGCACAGCUUGUACAGGAUAGGUAGGAGCCUUUGAAACGUGAGCGCUAGCUUACGUGGAGGCGCUGGUGGGAUACUACCCUAGCUGUGUUGGCUUUCUAACCCGCACCACUUAUCGUGGUGGGAGACAGUGUCAGGCGGGCAGUUUGACUGGGGCGGUCGCCUCCUAAAAGGUAACGGAGGCGCUCAAAGGUUCCCUCAGAAUGGUUGGAAAUCAUUCAUAGAGUGUAAAGGCAUAAGGGAGCUUGACUGCGAGACCUACAAGUCGAGCAGGGUCGAAAGACGGACUUAGUGAUCCGGUGGUUCCGCAUGGAAGGGCCAUCGCUCAACGGAUAAAAGCUACCCCGGGGAUAACAGGCUUAUCUCCCCCAAGAGUUCACAUCGACGGGGAGGUUUGGCACCUCGAUGUCGGCUCAUCGCAUCCUGGGGCUGUAGUCGGUCCCAAGGGUUGGGCUGUUCGCCCAUUAAAGCGGUACGCGAGCUGGGUUCAGAACGUCGUGAGACAGUUCGGUCCCUAUCCGUCGUGGGCGUAGGAAAUUUGAGAGGAGCUGUCCUUAGUACGAGAGGACCGGGAUGGACAUACCUCUGGUGUACCAGUUGUCGUGCCAACGGCAUAGCUGGGUAGCUAUGUGUGGACGGGAUAAGUGCUGAAAGCAUCUAAGCAUGAAGCCCCCCUCAAGAUGAGAUUUCCCAACUUCGGUUAUAAGAUCCCUCAAAGAUGAUGAGGUUAAUAGGUUCGAGGUGGAAGCAUGGUGACAUGUGGAGCUGACGAAUACUAAUCGAUCGAAGACUUAAUC
rnacentral:rRNA from 1 species